rnacentral:rRNA from 1 species
AUUCCCCUAGUAACUGCGAGUGAAGCGGGAAAAGCUCAAAUUUAAAAUCUGGUGGUCUUUGGCCAUCCGAGUUGUAAUCUAGAGAAGUGUUACCCGCGCUGGACCGUGUACAAGUCUCCUGGAAUGGAGCGUCAUAGAGGGUGAGAAUCCCGUCUUUGACACGGACUGCCAGGGCUUUGUGGUGCGCUCUCAAAGAGUCGAGUUGUUUGGGAAUGCAGCUCAAAAUGGGUGGUAAAUUCCAUCUAAAGCUAAAUAUUGGCGAGAGACCGAUAGCGAACAAGUACCGUGAGGGAAAGAUGAAAAGAACUUUGGAAAGAGAGUUAAACAGUACGUGAAAUUGCUGAAAGGGAAACGCUUGAAGUCAGUCGCGUUGGCCGGGAAUCAACCUUGCUUUUGCUGGGCGUACUUUCCGGUCGACGGGUCAGCAUCAGUUUUGACCAUUGGAAAAAGUCUAGAGGAAUGUGGCAUCUCCGGAUGUGUUAUAGCCUCUGGUCGCAUACGAUGGUUGGGACUGAGGAACUCAGCACGCCGCAAGGCCGGGUACUUGUACCACGUUCGUGCUUAGGAUGCUGGCAUAAUGGCUUUAAUCGACCCGUCUUGAAACACGGACCAAGGAGUCUAACAUGCCUGCGAGUGUUUGGGUGGAAAACCCGAGCGCGUAAUGAAAGUGAAAGUUGAGAUCCCUGUCGUGGGGAGCAUCGACGCCCGGACCAGACGUUUUCUGACGGAUCCGCGGUAGAGCAUGUAUGUUGGGACCCGAAAGAUGGUGAACUAUGCCUGAAUAGGGUGAAGCCAGAGGAAACUCUGGUGGAGGCUCGUAGCGAUUCUGACGUGCAAAUCGAUCGUCAAAUGUGGA